rnacentral:rRNA from 1 species
ACACACGGCGGGUGCUAACGUCCGUCGUGAAGAGGGAAACAACCCAGACCGCCAGCUAAGGUCCCAAAGUCAUGGUUAAGUGGGAAACGAUGUGGGAAGGCCCAGACAGCCAGGAUGUUGGCUUAGAAGCAGCCAUCAUUUAAAGAAAGCGUAAUAGCUCACUGGUCGAGUCGGCCUGCGCGGAAGAUGUAACGGGGCUAAACCAUGCACCGAAGCUGCGGCAGCGACGCUUAUGCGUUGUUGGGUAGGGGAGCGUUCUGUAAGCCUGUGAAGGUGUGCUGUGAGGCAUGCUGGAGGUAUCAGAAGUGCGAAUGCUGACAUAAGUAACGAUAAAGCGGGUGAAAAGCCCGCUCGCCGGAAGACCAAGGGUUCCUGUCCAACGUUAAUCGGGGCAGGGUGAGUCGACCCCUAAGGCGAGGCCGAAAGGCGUAGUCGAUGGGAAACAGGUUAAUAUUCCUGUACUUGGUGUUACUGCGAAGGGGGGACGGAGAAGGCUAUGUUGGCCGGGCGACGGUUGUCCCGGUUUAAGCGUGUAGGCUGGUUUUCCAGGCAAAUCCGGAAAAUCAAGGCUGAGGCGUGAUGACGAGGCACUACGGUGCUGAAGCAACAAAUGCCCUGCUUCCAGGAAAAGCCUCUAAGCAUCAGGUAACAUCAAAUCGUACCCCAAACCGACACAGGUGGUCAGGUAGAGAAUACCAAGGCGCUUGAGAGAACUCGGGUGAAGGAACUAGGCAAAAUGGUGCCGUAACUUCGGGAGAAGGCACGCUGAUAUGUAGGUGAAGUCCCUCGCGGAUGGAGCUGAAAUCAGUCGAAGAUACCAGCUGGCUGCAACUGUUUAUUAAAAACACAGCACUGUGCAAACACGAAAGUGGACGUAUACGGUGUGACGCCUGCCCGGUGCCGGAAGGUUAAUUGAUGGGGUCAGCGCAAGCGAAGCUCUUGAUCGAAGCCCCGGUAAACGGCGGCCGUAACUAUAACGGUCCUAAGGUAGCGAAAUUCCUUGUCGGGUAAGUUCCGACCUGCACGAAUGGCGUAAUGAUGGCCAGGCUGUCUCCACCCGAGACUCAGUGAAAUUGAACUCGCUGUGAAGAUGCAGUGUACCCGCGGCAAGACGGAAAGACCCCGUGAACCUUUACUAUAGCUUGACACUGAACAUUGAGCCUUGAUGUGUAGGAUAGGUGGGAGGCUUAGAAGUGUGGACGCCAGUCUGCAUGGAGCCGACCUUGAAAUACCACCCUUU